GCACGAAUGGAGUAACGAUAGCCCCACUGUCUCCUUCCGAGGCUCAGUGAAAUUGAAAUCGCUGUGACGAUGCAGUGUUCCCGCGGCAAGACGGAAAGACCCCGUGAACCUUUACUAUAGCUUUGCACUGGACUUUGAAUUUGCUUGUGUAGGAUAGGUGGGAGGCAUUGAAGUCAGGACGCUAGUCUUGAUGGAGUCAACCUUGAAAUACCACCCUGGUAAUUUCGGAGUUCUAACCUCGAUCGGUAUAUCCCGGUCAGGGACAAUGUAUGGUGGGUAGUUUGACUGGGGCGGUCUCCUCCUAAAGAGUAACGGAGGAGUACGAAGGUGCGCUCAGCGUGGUCGG
rnacentral:rRNA from 15 species